rnacentral:rRNA from 1 species
UUUGACUGGGGCGGUCUCCUCCUAAAGAGUAACGGAGGAGCACGAAGGUUGGCUAAGCAUGGUCGGACAUCAUGCGGUUAGUGCAAAGGCAUAAGCCAGCUUGACUGCGAGAGUGACGGCUCGAGCAGGUACGAAAGUAGGUCUUAGUGAUCCGGUGGUUCUGAAUGGAAGGGCCAUCGCUCAACGGAUAAAAGGUACUCCGGGGAUAACAGGCUGAUACCGCCCAAGAGUUCAUAUCGACGGCGGUGUUUGGCACCUCGAUGUCGGCUCAUCACAUCCUGGGGCUGAAGUAGGUCCCAAGGGUAUGGCUGUUCGCCAUUUAAAGUGGUACGCGAGCUGGGUUUAGAACGUCGUGAGACAGUUCGGUCCCUAUCUGCCGUGGGCGUUGGAAGAUUGAGAGGGGUUGCUCCUAGUACGAGAGGACCGGAGUGAACGCACCACUGGUGUUCGGGUUGUCAUGCCAAUGGCAUUGCCCGGUAGCUAAGUGCGGAAGAGAUAACCGCUGAAAGCAUCUAAGCGGGAAACUUGCC